CCUACGGGAGGCAGCAGUGGGGAAUAUUGCACAAUGGGGGAAACCCUGAUGCAGCGACGCCGCGUGAGUGAAGAAGUAAUUCGUUAUGUAAAGCUCUAUCAGCAGGGAAGAAAAUGACGGUACCUGAGUAAGAAGCCCCGGCUAACUACGGGCCAGCAGCCGCGGUAAUACGUAGGGGGCAAGCGUUAUCCGGAUUUACUGGGUGUAAAGGGAGCGUAGACGGAAGUGCAAGUCUGGAGUGAAAGGCGGGGGCUCAACCCCCGGACUGCUGUGGAAACUGUACGGCUGGAGUGCAGGAGAGGUAAGUGGAAUUCCUAGUGUAGCGGUGAAAUGCGUAGAUAUUAGGAGGAACACCAGUGGCGAAGGCGGCUUACUGGACUGUAACUGACGUUGAGGCUCGAAAGCGUGGGUAGCAAACAGGAUUAGAUACCCUAGUAGUC
rnacentral:rRNA from 1 species